GAAGAGGGAGUCAGUUAUUCUUCCUGGGAGCUCUCCUGAAUAGAAUCUAUACACAUUAAUAUCCCAAGUGGAACCAUACACAGAAACAAGGAAAAUGAAGCAACUAAAGCAGUGGUCUUCAACCUUUCCGGCACCAGGGACCAGUAUAGUGGACGGACAUGGUGGGUGGAGGUAGGGGGGCAGUGGAUGAUUUGGGGAUGAAACUGUUCCACCUCAGAUCAUAAGGCAUUAGUUAGAUUUUCAUAAGGAGUGCACAACCCACAACCAUCGCAUAAGCAGUUCAUAAUAGGUUUGCCCUCCGAUGAGACUCUAAUGCUGCUGUUGAUCUGACAGGAGGCGGAGCUCAGACAGUAAUGAUUGUUCACCCAUUGCUCAUCUCCUGCUGUGCAGCCCAGUUCCUAAUAGGUCAGGGACCAGUACCAUGAGAACAUUACUCUCACCCACUGCUCACCUCCUGUUGUGUGGCCCAGGACACUCUCACUUUCAUUUUUUUAUUACAAUUAAUCCUUUUACUUUACACAUAUAUUUUACAUAUACUAUACAUAUUUAUAUGUGUAAAAAUAUAUAUUUUAUAUACAUCUAUAUAAAAUCUGUUACACAUACUAUAUUUAAAUAUACAUGUAUUUAAAACAAACAGAAAGACUGCUCUCUAUCUUUCAAAGGA
rnacentral:lncRNA from 1 species